rnacentral:rRNA from 1 species
AUUAAACGCUGGCGGCAUGCCUUACACAUGCAAGUCGAACGGUAACAGGUCUUCGGAUGCUGACGAGUGGCGAACGGGUGAGUAAUACAUCGGAACGUGCCCGAGAGUGGGGGAUAACGAGGCGAAAGCUUUGCUAAUACCGCAUACGAUCUCAGGAUGAAAGCAGGGGACCGCAAGGCCUUGCGCUCACGGAGCGGCCGAUGGCAGAUUAGGUAGUUGGUGGGAUAAAAGCUUACCAAGCCGACGAUCUGUAGCUGGUCUGAGAGGACGACCAGCCACACUGGGACUGAGACACGGCCCAGACUCCUACGGGAGGCAGCAGUGGGGGAAUUUUUGGACAAUGGGCGCAAGCCUGAUCCAGCAAUGCCGCGUGCAGGAUGAAGGCCU